rnacentral:rRNA from 1 species
GGGAGCUCUCCCAUAUGGUCGACCUGCAGGCGGCCGCGAAUUCACUAGUGAUUCGUAUUACCGCGGCUGCUGGCACAGAGUUAGCCGGUGCUUAUUCUGUCGGUAACGUCAAGACAGCAACGUAUUAGGUUACUGCCCUUCCUCCCAACUUAAAGCGCUUUACAAUCCGAAGACCUUCUUCACACACGCGGCAUUGCUGGAUCAGGCUUUCGCCCAUUGUCCAAUAUUCCCCACUGCUGCCUCCCGUAGGAGUCUGGGCCGUGUCUCAGUCCCAGUGUGGCUGAUCAUCCUCUCAGACCAGCUAAGGAUCGUCGGCUUGGUAGGCCUUUACCCCACCAACUACCUAAUCCUACGCGGGCUCAUCCCUGGCCGAUAAAUCUUUGGUCCGAAGACAUCAUCCGGUAUUAGCAGUCAUUUCUAACUGUUAUUCCGAAGCCAAGGGCAGAUUCCCACGCGUUACGCACCCGUGCGCCACUAACCCCGAAGGGUUCGUUCGACUUGCAUGUGUUAGGCAUGCCGCCAGCGUUCGUUCUGAGCCAUGAUCAAACUCUAAUCGAAUUCCCGCGGCCGCCAUGGCGGCCGGGAGCAUG